rnacentral:rRNA from 1 species
GAUGAACGCUGGCGGCGUGCCUAAUACAUGCAAGUCGAGCGAACAGACGGGGAGCUUGCUCCUCUGACGUUAGCGGCGGACGGGUGAGUAACACGUGGAUAACCUAUCUAUAUGACUGGGAUAACUUCGGGAAACCGGAGCUAAUACCGGAUAAUAUAUUGAACCGCAUGGUUCAAUAGUGAAAGACGGUUUUGCUGUCACUUAUAGAUGGAUCCGCGCCGCAUUAGCUAGUUGGUAAGGUAACGGCUUACCAAGGCAGCGAUGCGUAGCCGAACUGAGAGAGUGAUCGGCCACACUGGAACUGAGACACGGUCCAGACUCCUACGGGAGGCAGCAGUAGGCAAUCUUCCGCAAUGGGCGAAAGCCUGACGGAGCAACGCCGCGUGAGUGAUGAAGGUCUUCGGAUCGUAAAGCUCUGUUAUUGGGGAAGAACAAAUGUGUAAGUAACUAUGCACGUCUUGACGGUACCUAAACAGAAAGCCACGGCUAACUACGUG